UACGUAGGGUGCAAGCGUUAAUCGGAAUUACUGGGCGUAAAGCGUGCGCAGGCGGUUAUGUAAGGCAGAUGUGAAAUGCCCGGGCUCAACCUGGGAACUGCAUUUGUGACUGCACAGCUAGAGUACGGUAGAGGGGAUGGAAUUCCGCGUGUAGCAGUGAAAUGCGUAGAUAUGCGGAGGAACACCGAUGGCGAAGGCAGUCCCCUGGACCUGUACUGACGCUCAUGCACGAAAGCGUGGGGAGCAAACAGG
rnacentral:rRNA from 1 species